UGCCAGCCGCCGCGGUAAUACGGAGGAUCCAAGCGUUAUCCGGAAUUAUUGGGUUUAAAGGGUCCGCAGGCGGUUUGUUAAGUCAGAGGUGAAAUCCUACCGCUCAACGGUAGAAUUGCCUUUGAUACUGUUAGACUUGAGUUCAGUUGGAGUAGGCGGAAUGUGUAGUGUAGCGGUGAAAUGCUUAGAUAUUACACAGAACACCGAUAGCGAAGGCAGCUUACUAACAAUACACUGACGCUGAGGGACGAAAGCGUGGGUAGCGAACAGGAUUAGAUA
rnacentral:rRNA from 1 species